CCUACGGGCGGCUGCAGUGGGGAAUAUUGGACAAUGGGCGAAAGCCUGAUCCAGCCAUGCCGCGUGUGUGAAGAAGGCCUUCGGGUUGUAAAGCACUUUCAGUGGGGAAGAAAGCCUUGGGGCUAAUACCCUCGAGGAAGGACAUCACCCACAGAAGAAGCACCGGCUAACUCCGUGCCAGCAGCCGCGGUAAUACGGAGGGUGCGAGCGUUAAUCGGAAUUACUGGGCGUAAAGCGCGCGUAGGCGGUCUGAUAAGCCGGUUGUGAAAGCCCCGGGCUCAACCUGGGAACGGCAUCCGGAACUGUCAGGCUAGAGUGCAGGAGAGGAAGGUAGAAUUCCCGGUGUAGCGGGGAAAUGCGUAGAGAUCGGGAGGAAUACCAGUGGCGAAGGCGGCCUUCUGGACUGACACUGACGCUGAGGUGCGAAAGCGUGGGUAGCAAACAGGAUUAGAUACCCGAGUAGUC
rnacentral:rRNA from 1 species